GGGCGUAUAGCUCAGCUGGUUAGAGUACACCCCUGAUAAGGGUGAGGUCUCAGGUUCAAGUCCUGAUACGCCCACCA
rnacentral:tRNA from 1 species